GGCUCGGUAGCUUAGUUGGUAAAGCACUCGUCUAGCAUACAAGAGUCGUGGGUUCGAAUACUUCCUGGGCAC
rnacentral:tRNA from 1 species